rnacentral:lncRNA from 1 species
AAAAAUUCAAUUUUAGGAGUGAAAAUCAGCAACUGAACUUAAAGAAAGUAAGCUGAAACGAUGAGGUUUAGAAGUGAAUUUUAGGGAGCAAACUUUUAAAAAAGUAUAAGUCAUCUUUAUAGUUCGUUUCUGGGUUCUUCUCUAUGUUUUUGGGUUGUUUUUAACAUGGAUUUACGGCUAUUUUGCUACGUUUGCUGCUGCUUUUGUUGCUGAAAUUCAGUUCCUCCCUGCUGACAUUUUCUUUUAACUAUUCAGGUAAUUCCUUUAAUGUAUUGAAAUCUUUGAUCAAGGAUUAAUGCAAGUGAAGCAACUUGAGUCCAUCGAUGUAUUUUGAGCUUUCUUUUUUCGAAGAAAAUGUUCUGCCCGGACUGCUUUAAAUAUCCUUUAAGUUGACAUGGAAUAAAUGUUCAAUUGUUCGGAUCCAUCAGAUUUUCAACUUAUGAAUUUGUUUGCUUUCAUGUACCAAUAAUAGAUGUGUAGAAGGUUUUUGUGAUAAUU